UACGAAGGGGGCGAGCGUUGUUCGGAAUCACUGGGCGUAAAGGGUGCGCAGGCGCCAUGUGUGUGAGGCGUGAAAGCCCGAUGCUUAACAUCGGAAUUGCACCUCAAACUACAUGGCUAGAGCAUUGGAGAGGGUAGCGGAAUUCACGGUGUAGCAGUGAAAUGCGUAGAUAUCGUGAGGAACACCAGAGGCGAAGGCGGCUACCUGGACAAUUGCUGACGCUCAGGCA
rnacentral:rRNA from 1 species